rnacentral:rRNA from 1 species
AGAGCGAACGCUGGCGGCAGGCCUAACACAUGCAAGUCGAACGAACUCUUCGGAGUUAGUGGCGGACGGGUGAGUAACACGUGGGAACGUGCCUUUUGGUUCGGAAUAACUCAGGGAAACUUGUGCUAAUACCGAAUGUGCCCUUCGGGGGAAAGAUUUAUCGCCAUUAGAGCGGCCCGCGUCUGAUUAGCUUGUUGGUGAGGUAAUGGCUCACCAAGGCUACGAUCAGUAGCUGGUCUGAGAGGAUGACCAGCCACAUUGGGACUGAGACACGGUCCAAACUCCUACGGGAGGCAGCAGUGGGGAAUCUUGCGCAAUGGGCGAAAGCCUGACGCAGCCAUGCCGCGUGUAUGAUGAAGGUCUUAGGAUUGUAAAAUACUUUCACCGGUGAAGAUAAUGACUGUAGCCGGAGAAGAAGCCUGGCUAACUUCGUGCCAGCAGCCGC